CCUACGGGUGGCAGCAGUGAGGAAUAUUGGUCAAUGCGCGCGAGCCUGAACCAGCCAAGCAGCGUGACGGAUGAAUGCCCUCCGGGUUGUAAACUUCUUUUAUAAAGGAAUAAAGUGAGGCACGUGUGCCUUUUUGUAUGUACUUUAUGAAUAAGGAUCGGCUAACUCCGGUCCAUCAGCAGCGGUGAUACGGAGGAUCCGGGCGUUAUACGGGUUUGAUGGGUGUAAAGGGAGCGUAGCCGGCGAUGCAAGGAUGAAGUGAAAGGCGUGGGGCCAACCCCCGGACUGCUUUGGAAACUGGAUGGCUGGAGUGCAGGAGAGGUAAGUGGAAUUCCUAGUGUAGCGGUGAAAUGCUUAGAUAUCACGAAGAACCCCGAUUGCGAAGGCAGCUUACUAAACGGUGACUGACAUUGAGGCUCGAAAGUGUGGGUAUCAAACAGGAUUAGAUACCCCAGUAGUC
rnacentral:rRNA from 1 species